AAGCGGUGGAGCAUGUGGUUUAAUUCGAUGCAACGCGAAGAACCUUACCUACUCUUGACAUCCAGCGAAUCCUUUAGAGAUAGAGGAGUGCCUUCGGGAACGCUGAGACAGGUGCUGCAUGGCUGUCGUCAGCUCGUGUUGUGAAAUGUUGGGUUAAGUCCCGCAACGAGCGCAACCCUUAUCCUUGUUUGCCAGCACGUAAUGGUGGGAACUCCAGGGAGACUGCCGGUGAUAAACCGGAGGAAGGUGGGGACGACGUCAAGUCAUCAUGGCCCUUACGAGUAGGGCUACACACGUGCUACAAU
rnacentral:rRNA from 1 species